rnacentral:ncRNA from 2 species
UGAGGCAAUAACAGGUCUGUG